rfam:Schistosoma rodhaini strain Burundi genome assembly, scaffold: SROB_scaffold0000665
GCACUGCUGAGGAGUCCCAUAAUAGGACGAAACGGCCGUGCUGUGC